rnacentral:tRNA from 1 species
GGGCGGUUGGUGUAGUGGUAACAUAUCUGCCUUCCAUUGAGUUUGUUAGGCAGGUGUGCCAGGGGUUCAAUUUCCCUACCGCUCA